CAAUGCUGCAUGAUCUAUCAAUCUCCAGUAUCUUUAAAUAGUCAGAUUCUCAGAUCCAUGUCUAAAAUUGAACCUGUAGAAUUAAGUAGAUUCAAAAGUCACCAAAACUUUCAGUAGUAAUCAAAAUACCAGUAUAAGAAAGACAGUAACUUGUUUACAGGACAAUAUAUGAAGGAAAGGGAUGGAGAGGGGCAGGGGGGUGCUGCUUCCCUAAAGUGUCUGUACACUAAUGCGCGCAGCAUGGGAAAUAAACAGGAAGAGUUGGAGAUCUGUGUGCGGUCGCAAGGCCAUGAUCUCAUUGCGAUCACGGAAACGUGGUGGGACAGCUCGCAUGACUGGAAUGUUGUCAUGGAGGGCUAUGUGCUUUUUAGGAAAGAUCGGCUGGUGAGGCGGGGUGGUGGAGUUGCUCUUUAUGUGAGAGAGCAGCUAGAGUGUAUUGAACUCCACCUGGGGGAGGGUGAUGCAGCAGUGGAGAGCUUGUGGGUGAGAAUCAAGGGGCAGGCUGGUAUGGGUGACACCGUUGUGGGUGUGUACUACAGGCCCCCUGAUCAGGAGGAGGAGGUUGACGAGGCCUUCCAUAAGCAACUGGAAGUAGCGUCGCAAUCCCAGGCGCUGGUGCUUAUGGGGGACUUCAAUUAUCCAGAUAUUUGCUGGAAAAGCAACGUGGCCAGGCACGCGCGGUCCAGACGGUUCCUGCAAUGUGUCGAGGACAACUUUCUGAUGCAGGUGGUGGAGGAACCGACGAGGGGAGGGGUGUUACUGGACCUUAUUCUCACAAAUAAGGACGGGUUUGUUAAAGAAGUAAAAGUUGGGGGUAGCUUGGGUUGUAGUGACCACGAGAUGGUGGAGUUCAAGAUCUUGAAUGGAAGAAGCAAAGCAAAAAGUAGGAUUGCUACCCUGGACUUUAGGAGAGCCAACCUUGAUCUCUUCCGGGACCUACUUGGAGCUAUCCCGUGGGCUAGGGUGUUAGAAGGUAAGGGGGCCUGUGAGAGCUGGACGGCAUUUAAACAGCUCUUCUUCCAAGCUCAGGAUCGGUGCGUCCCUGUGAGCAAGAAAUCGGGAAAAGGUGGCAGGAGACCUGUGUGGAUGAGCAAGGAGCUCAU
rnacentral:lncRNA from 1 species